AUUGAACGCUGGCGGCAGGCCUAACACAUGCAAGUCGCGCGAGCGGCGGAAGCGUGAGUAAUGUCUGUGAGACUGCCUGCUGGAGGGGGAUAACUCCUGGAAACGGUAUAUCAUACCGCAUCCCCUCUGAUAUGCACACAUGGGAUGAGCUAGUAGGUGGGGUAACGGCGCACCUAGGGGACGAUCCCUAGCUGGUCUGAGAGGGUGACCAGCCACACGGGGACGGAGACACGGCCCAGACUCCUAAGGGAGGCAGGAGUGGGGAAUAUUGCAAAAUGGGCGCAAGCCUGAUGCAGCCAUGCCGCGUGUGUGAAGAAGGCCUUCGGGUUGUAAAGCACUUUCAGUGGGGAGGCGUUACCCGCAGAAGAAGCACCGGCUAACUCCGUGCCAGCAGCCGCGGUAAUAC
rnacentral:rRNA from 1 species